CCCCUGCCUGAGCCAGGGUCAUCCCUACUCAAAACAUCCUAUACAAAGCCAUUGUCUAACCUCUUAGCAAAACUACACAUUCAACCCUGACACAACCACAAGACAUAAUACCCUAACCUGC